UCCUCCGUCCACCUUCUGCCGACGUCCGACGUCUCCCGCGGGUGUUUCCCGACGUGUGUCCCGCGUGCGUGUCUGUCCCGCGGCUCUCGUAAAAAUCCUCUGGCGCUCGCCGCUCGGGAUCUAAGCCAGCCUCUCUGCGCGUUGCUCCGAAUUAGCCUGAGCUUUCCCGAUACGAAGCUCAAUGACGAAUCAGACAUCAACACGAUUCGUGGCUACUGUAGUCCGCAGAAUCAUCGGAUCGAAUUGUCUCUCGUCGCAAAAUUGUCAAAUCGAAGUUCGUCGAGGGAGAAGUGUGAUGGAUCACGUCAACGGACGCACACGGGGAUUUAUCAUUUGAAGAAGCGGGCUAUAUCGAGGAAAUAUAACGUGGAAUCGCGCAUAUUCCUUUUUCAUUAUGCAUACGGAGGGAAUUAUUAUUAGUUCUCAGUUUCACCGUGAAGCAUUCGUAAUCUCAUUAUUAGCGACGGAAAGACGCCGUCUAUCGAAUUGGUGGUGUAAGUUUUAUUUCCUAUUUUUACGUCUUUUCUCGUUUCUCGUUUCGUCAAUCUAUCAAAUCAACGGGUGACCAUAACUCGUCGACGAUGGAACGCCGGAAGCGUAAAUGCUCGACAGGUGUUCUAGUUACAAAGUUUGAAUGAUGCGUGGGUUUUUAGCUUAUUGAUAACAAACAUGCGUCAAACAGGGAUCAAUUUCCAACGCAUCAAAUUUCCUUUCAUCAUUUGUACCUGCUUUUACGUCUUUUACAUCUUUCAUAAACUGCGUGCAUUUAUCGGUUCAUUUAUGUCAAUUAUGUUUCCUAUCAAUCCUUUAUGCAGCUGGAAAGAAUGAUGGUUCGAUCACACAAAGGGUUACAUUUUCUCUUCGGAUAUAUCAGAUACACAAUUAUUAUAAUAAAAGUCUGAUAAAAGUAAUAUUAAAUGCUGUUAUAGGAUACGAUUUAUUCUGGUGUGUCAUAAGCCUGGUUUCAACACUGCUACUGAAGUCACUUUACGCCUCGUGCCAAGGCGCAGACAUUAAACUGUCACUAAACUAAUAUUUAAAUCUUGGCCGAAGUUUCCGGACGAGCGCCGAGAGCUCAUUUGUUAAUCGUUUCUUGUUCGUUUGCGCGCUUUUGAACUCCAUAUAAUAGUAAUUGCAUUUCACUGAAAGUCAAAUCUGAGAUUGACAUAUUUUACUUAUUAUUGUCCAUAAUACGUGUGACAUGUGAUAUUAUAUAAAUAUAUAACAAGCACGCAUUUUCGUUUACUUCCGCACCCAUUGGACAUUAAUUUGAUCCGCUUAUCACAAUCCGUUCAAACUGCUGCUACAUCACGAAGUUUAAUCGAACAUUUACCGGCAAGUGCAUAAUUUAUUAAAUAAACGCAAUGCUACCUGGAAUUUCUAUUAAACAAUUGCUCUUGCUGUUUCAUUUUGCUGUUCCAUCAAAAUAACAUAUUGGAAAUAUGUUACGUAUUAAUCAAGGUUUCUGUAGUACUAUGAUGUAAUGCAUCGUGAUUUAAUAAAUUCUCCAAUUUAUAACAUAACGAAAUUAAAUUAAAUUAAAAUAAUAUAUGAAUACUUAUUUGGUUUAUUAAUUUUUGCCAACCUCAAAUUAACCUCAAUGGAUGAAAAAAAAGUAGCGUAAGUAUAAGUUGCUGAACUAUUACCUACAUGUUUUUCAAAUAUUUAAAGGUUCUCCAUCGUUCAAAACUGACAAGAAGAGAAAGCUUGCAGAGAACUCAAUAAUUCCUCACUCACUAACAAGAUUUGAAAGGAGGAAAGGACAAGAGAUUUAAAUUGUGACAGCCAGAACAAACGAACACAACUACAAAGUUUGUAGUACAAACAUGUGCGCAUAAAAAAAUGUUUCCUUCGUAUUGUAUUCGUAAUACCGGUUUAAUCUGAUUUAAAGAUAAGAGCAGAACGCAAAAAUCAUAGAGCAGAGCUACGAAUGUCGAUUGUUUUCGACGUGAAAAUACGUAUUGUGCGAGAUUAUUAGAAAGAAGAAAAAAAGAAUUGUGCACUGCCAUCACAAAUAAGUUAUGUGCAAUCAGCAGUUAUAAUUUCCGUUUUACAUGGACCUCGCUAACGUGGGCGGAAUUCAAUUUCCUCAGGGACACAUCAUCGUGUCUCGGAAUAAGCCUCAAAAAUCGCUUUCGCUUUUGCUCGUCGAAAGGCAAACUCGUACACUCGUCUUAUAUUCGUAUACUGUUUUAUGAAUAGCGAAAAUAAUCUAUGAUGUAUAACGAUCGCUUUUCCACUUUUGCACGGCUGUAAAUAUUUGUAAUUGUUCAUGAGGAAGAUAAUAACGAAAAAAGCAUCGAGUUUACUUCUGCACGCUUUUACAAUCCUUCACGUUUUCGCCGUAUUAUCGCAGAUGGCUCGAAUUUCUAGCUCCAUUAGCGAUUUAUCCGACGAGGCACGUGUCAAAACGCCACUGGUGCUUGCCUGCGUUGAUCCACGUCCAUUAAGCUCUCACUCGGAGUCAACUUUUUAAUUAUUUGUGGAAUCCUCUCUGGGAUUCGCGCGAUGCUAUAUUUACACGUCGCGCAGAGAUAUCGGAGCGACGUUUCCUGUCGCGCUGAAUCGGUUACAUUAUAAUUAUAGUGAAAUCGAAUUUUUAACGGUCAACGACACCGUCGUUUCGAAUACGGAUUCACCUGUGAAAACACACUGUACAGCACGGUUUGUGGAUACAAAAGUCAUUCACACGGAAUACUGAAAAAUAAACAGCUACAGUUUUCUAUAGGA